rnacentral:lncRNA from 1 species
CGACGAUAUUGGGAGGGGUAGGUGAGGGUCGCGAGGCUGCGUGAGCUUCUGAGUGAACGCGGUGCUUUUGGGAACGCGGGACGGGCGACCUGUGGCGCCAGGAGCGGGCCGAGGCGCGGCGGCGCGGCUGCCGUCUGGAUGGGAAGUUACGGUUUACAGCGAAGUCCACCCAGCGUUUCCGAGGUGAAGGCGCCGCGCCAGGCCGGGCGGGCGUGUCUCGCUCUGUUGCCC